CAUUGGUGGCUUUGUGCCUGGUUCUGUGUGAGAUGUCAACAUCACUCCAAACCACGACAACCUUGAAAGAGAGAAAAGCAAACAAAUUAUUCUUCUUCUUCUUCACCUCCACAGUGCUUAUGCAAAGUAGGGUUUGCUUCAGAUUUUUGGCUAAAUUUGGCAAAAUGCGGCUCUUUAAUUAUAUGUACUCUUUUUUAGCAAAACCCAUGUUUGUUUUUCCUUUUUCCUCCAUUUUACAGUCACAGAAAUGCUUUAUGAUCAGUAGAACACUUGCAGAAGAUCUGCAGAAUCGAAAGAUUUUUGUGUGUGAAGAGAAAACAGCCGCGGACUGGUAAAUUGGCUUGUUUGAUGUAAUGGGUCGGACAAUUUUUCCCAGAAAAUGAUGAGAAAGAAAAUUCCUGAUCAGGAAGAUCUACAGGACAAGGGCUGAGCUCUAAUGGCUCUGUCUUUUCUCAAGGGUCGGACAUUUUUUCCCAGAAAAUGAUGAGAAAGAAAGUUCCUGAUCAAGAAGAUCAACAGGACAAGGGCUGA